UCCCUGGUAGUCCAGUGGCUAAGACUCUGCUCUCAAUGCAGAGGGCCUGGGUUCAAUCCCUGGUCAGGGAA
rnacentral:tRNA from 1 species